UUUUAUUUGAGAGUUUGAUCCUGGCUCAGGAUGAACGCUGGCGGCGUGCCUAACACAUGCAAGUUGAGCGAUUUACUUCGGUAAAGAGCGGCGGACGGGUGAGUAACGCGUGGGUAACCUACCCUGUACACACGGAUAACAUACUGAAAGGUAUGCUAAUACGGGAUAAUAUAUUUGAGAGGCAUCUCUUGAAUAUCAAAGGUGAGCCAGUACAGGAUGGACCCGCGUCUGAUUAGCUAGUUGGUAAGGUAACGGCUUACCAAGGCGACGAUCAGUAGCCGACCUGAGAGGGUGAUCGGCCACAUUGGAACUGAAACACGGUCCAAACUUCUACGGGAGGAAGCUGUGUGAUAUAUUGCACAAUGGGCGAAAGCCUGAUGCAGCAACGCCGCGUGAGUGAUGAAGGCCUUCGGGUCGUAAAACUCUGUCCU
rnacentral:rRNA from 1 species